rnacentral:rRNA from 1 species
ACGAACGCUGGCGGCGUGCUUAACCCAUGCAAGUCGAACGGAAAGGCCCUGCUUUUGUGGGGUGCUCGAGUGGCGAACGGGUGAGUAACACGUGAGUAACCUGCCCUUGACUUUGGGAUAACUUCAGGAAACUGGGGCUAAUACCGGAUAGGAGCUCCUGCUGCAUGGUGGGGGUUGGAAAGUUUCGGCGGUUGGGGAUGGACUCGCGGCUUAUCAGCUUGUUGGUGGGGUAGUGGCUUACCAAGGCUUUGACGGGUAGCCGGCCUGAGAGGGUGACCGGCCACAUUGGGACUGAGAUACGGCCCAGACUCCUACGGGAGGCAGCAGUGGGGAAUAUUGCACAAUGGGCGGAAGCCUGAUGCAGCAACGCCGCGUGCGGGAUGACGGCCUUCGGGUUGUAAACCGCUUUCGCCUGUGACGAAGCGUGAGUGACAGUAAUGGGUAAAGAAGCACCGGCUAACUACGUG